GCAGUCGAACGGUAGCACAGAAGAGCUUGCUCUUCGGGUGACGAGUGGCGGACGGGUGAGUAAUGUCUGGGGAUCUGCCCGGCAGAGGGGGAUAACCACUGGAAACGGUGGCUAAUACCGCAUAACCUCGCAAGAGCAAAGAGGGGGACCUUCGGGCCUCUCACUGCCGGAUGAACCCAGAUGGGAUUAGCUAGUAGGUGGGGUAAUGGCUCACCUAGGCGACGAUCCCUAGCUGGUCUGAGAGGAUGACCAGCCACACUGGAACUGAGACACGGUCCAGACUCCUACGGGAGGCAGCAGUGGGGAAUAUUGCACAAUGGGCGCAAGCCUGAUGCAGCCAUGCCGCGUGUAUGAAGAAGGCCUUCGGGUUGUAAAGUACUUUCAGCGGGGAGGAAGGGAGUGAGGUUAAUAACCUCAUUGAUUGACGUUACCC
rnacentral:rRNA from 1 species